GCCAGGCGGAGUGGCGCGUGGCUGUAGUCCCAACUGCUCCGGAGGCUGAGGCUGCAGGAUCGCUUGAGCCCAGGAAUUCUGGGCUGUAGUGCUCUAUGCCCAUCUGGUGUCCGCACUAAGUUCUGCAUCAAUAUGGUGACCUCCCGGGCGUGGGGGACCACCAGGUUGCCUAAGGAGGGGUGAACCGCCCCAGGUCGGAAACGGAGAAGCUCAAAACUCCCGUGCUGAUUAGCAGUGGGAUCGUGCCUGUGAAUAGCCACUGCACUCCAGCCUGGGCAACAUAGCUAGAGCCUGUCUCU
rnacentral:SRP_RNA from 1 species